ACAGCAGUCGCCGCGGGAAUACGUAGGGUGCAAGCGUUAAUCGGAAUUACUGGGCGUAAAGCGCACGCAGGCGGUUUGUUAAGUCAGAUGUGAAAUCCCCGAGCUUAACUUGGGAACUGCAUUUGAAACUGGCAAGCUAGAGUCUUGUAGAGGGGGGUAGAAUUCCAGGUGUAGCGGUGAAAUGCGUAGAGAUCUGGAGGAAUACCGGUGGCGAAGGCGGCCCCCUGGACAAAGACUGACGCUCAGGUGCGAAAGCGUGGGGAGCAAACAGGAUUAGAUACCCCGGUAGUCCCUGUCUCUUAUAC
rnacentral:rRNA from 1 species